rnacentral:lncRNA from 1 species
GGACCAGGAAGGAUAAAAUAUUGUGACACAAACUACAGUCAGAAAAAAAAAAAAAAAAAAAAGCUCAAGGCCCAAGAAUGGACAAGAAUAAUCAAGGAAAAGAGAGUGGAAACAGUGCUAUCUGUACAUAGUCAAACUCUGCUUCCUGUAGUUCUGCAUUACGGGAACAGAAGUUCAUUCUUUCUCAUAGUUCUCAAUAAAUCUCAUUAGUUCCUUACCUCUAGUUAGCUAUUCUCUACAAAAUAUGACAGACCACUUAUGUCAUCUGUCACUGCCUUAGCUUAAAAGCAGACAUCAGUGUCUGAGUCUUUGAUAGAGCGAUUCUUUUGCAUCCAGUUUGCAUGGACUUCAGAUUCUGUUGUUCACAUAAUCACAUAAACCACAACUUUCCCGGAGUUCUUAGAUACAUUUCAUAACUCAAAUACUUUAAGCCACAGUUCUGCCUUCCCCCUCCCCCCCCCCCCCAAAAAAACCUGAAUAUUUACCAUGGAAAUUCCCACAAUCAUAACCACUUUCUAAUCUGUUUUGUACAUUACUUUAAAUUACAUUAUCCAGCAAAUUUUCUCUGUGUGAAGCAAAGACAAUUGCCUGCUACAUUUCUUGUUAAGACACAUGAAAGAUGUAUCUUAUUGGGGCCAUAUUAAUGCAUCCUAGUAAAACUGUAAUAUAAUAUAAGAGAGUAAAGCUGAAAUAAUGAGAUCUGAGCCUGUCUAAGAUUUUCUACCAUAUAGGUAUGAUUACCAAAGUAGUUAACAGAGACUGCAGUAGUUUCUCAAUGAGUUUUAAAUAUCAGAUCAGGUAAAAAAAAAAAAAAAAAAAAAUCUUACAAAUCUUACAUGUGGAUAGAGUUGUUGGGGCAUUCUGAAUGCUUACAAUUCAGGAUUCUGUCAGCCAGGAAUAAGGAGUAUCCAGUCAAAUUUGUUGGCUUUUAUUUCCACAAUUUUACAACAGGACCUCUGAAUUCAAAAUCAUUAUCCAUGGCCCUCUGCUAAUGAUGAGUUCUCCUGUCUAAGGAGCUAUUAGUAUGAAAAUAAUCACCAAACAAAAACAGAAAACAAAACAAAAAAAAAAAAAAAAA